UUCCCAGCAGCCCCCAGGCUGUUUCAGCUUUGUUUCCCCCCGGAGUUCUGUCCUUGCCUCGCAGCGUCUGCCACCCGCCAAGCCUUGGCUGCUGUCCUGCAGGCCAACGUUCUGAAUUUCCUCUUGCCUCAGAGCGAAGUCUGCGCUGGACUUGGGUCGGGAAGAGGAACUGCCUCCACCACCUUAGCCUGUGGAGCCGAGGAGGACCAAGUCCAGGCUGUUAAUCGGCUCACUCGGAGAGGGGCGUGGUCUAGAGCUUCGAGGGAUAUAAAUUGAGAGCCCAGAAAGAGAAGGUGUUGGCGUGUGGCAUGCAGCAGUUGGAGAGACCCAGAGCUGGACUGUAUCACAGUUUGGAGCAGAGAGAAAUGCUUCGGGUGCAGAGGCUUGGAGGAGACUGCUGGCUGCGUUUGCUGUUGACGGAGACUGGUAUAGCCCUAAAAGAAUCCAUCCACCCUAAACAGCUGGAAGAAGUAAAGGGGUCUGCACCCCCUCUCCCCACUAACCUUCUCUCUUUACCUAGGGUUGGGCGGUUGGUGAAAAGGAAGUAGAGGCGUAAAUACCCUAAAUAGAGUUUUAAAAAUGAGU